UACGGGGGGGGCAAGCGUUGUUCGGAAUUACUGGGCGUAAAGGGUCCGUAGGUGGCCAACUAAGUCAGACGUGAAAUCCCUCAGCUUAACUGGGGAACUGCGUCUGAGACUGGAUGGCUCGAGUGCAGGAGAGGAAUGCGGAAUUCCAGGUGUAGCGGUGAAAUGCGUAGAUAUCUGGAGGAACACCGGUGGCGAAGGCGGCAUUCUGGACUGCAACUGACACUGAACGGCGAAAGCCAGGGGAGCAAACGGG
rnacentral:rRNA from 1 species